UGGUGGGAUCCAUGCCUGGUUCAUUUUAAUAAAUGUGAGCUUGUCCACGUUGGCUGUGGACAGGAGGGUGCGCUUGUCUGUGAUAUCGCCCCUGGCGACGUAGCAUUCGGAUUUCUGCCCUAUCAACUUUCGAUGUUACUUUCUGCGCCUACCAUGGUGAUCACGGGUAACGGGGAAUCAGGGUUCGAUUCCGGAGAGGAAGCCUGAGAAAUGGCUACCACAUCCAAGGAAGGCAGCAGGAGUGCAAAUUACCCACUCCCGAUGCGGGGUGGUAAUGA